AGAGUUUGUAUCCUGGCUACAGAACGAAACGCUGGCGGCAUGCCUAACACAUGCAAGUCGAACGAUUGCCUUCGGGUGAUAGUGGCGCACGGGUGCGUAACGCGUGGGAAUCUGCCCUUUGUACGGGAUAACAGCGGGAAACUGCUGCUAAUACCGUAUGAUGACGUAAGUCCAAAGAUUUAUCGCCAGAGGAUGAGCCCGCGUAGGAUUAGGUAGUUGGUGGGGUAAAGGGCCUACCAAGCCGACGAUCCUUAGCUGGUCUGAGAGGAUGAUCAGCCACACUGGGACUGAGACACGGCCCAGACUCCUACGGGAGGCAGCAGUGGGGAAUAUUGGACGAUGGGCGCAAGCCUGAUCCAGCAAUGCCGCGUGAGUGAUGAAGGCCUUAGGGUUGUAAAGCUCUUUUACCCGGGAAGAUAAUGACUGUACCGGGAGAAUAAGCCCCGGCUAACUCCGUG
rnacentral:rRNA from 1 species